CAAUAGCGUAUAUUUAAGUUGUUGCAGUUAAAAAGCUCGUAGUUGGAUUUCGGUUAAGAGCGACCGGUCCGCCGUUUGGUGUGCACUGGUUGGUUUUAACUUCCUGUAGAGGACGUGCUCUGGGUUUAACGACCUGGACUCGGAGUCUACGUGGUUACUUUGAAAAAAUUAGAGUGUUCAAAGCGGGCUUACGCUUGAAUAUUUCGGCAUGGAAUAACACUAUAGGACUCCUGUCCUAUUUCGUUGGUCUCGGGACGGGAGUAAUGAUUAAGAGGAACAGUUGGGGGCAUUCGUAUUUCAUUGUCAGAGGUGAAAUUCUUGGAUUUAUGAAAGACGAACUUCUGCGAAAGCAUUUGCCAAGGAUGUUUUCAUUGA
rnacentral:rRNA from 1 species